rnacentral:rRNA from 1 species
AUUGAACGCUGGCGGCAGGCCUAACACAUGCAAGUCGAGCGAGCGGCGGACGGGUGAGUAAUGUAUGGGGACUGCCCGAUAGAGGGGGAUAACUACUGGAAACGGUGGCUAAUACCGCAUAUUGUCAGCUAAACCACAGGGGAUUGGCUAGUAGGUAAGGGAAUGGCUUACCUAGGCGACGAUCCCUAGGUGGUCUGAGAGGAUGAUCAGCCACACUGGGACUGAGACACGGCCCAGACUCCUACGGAGGCAGCAGUGGGGAAUAUUGUACAAUUGGCGCAAGCCUGAUGCAGCCAUGCCGCGUGUAUGAAGAAGGCCUUAGGGUUGUAAAGUACUUUCAGUCGGGAGGCGUUACCGACAGAAGAAGCACCGGCUAACUCCGUGCCAGCAGCCGCGGUAAUUC